UCCUAAUCUGCUGAGUAAAGUGCAAAGUGCACGUAUGUGCAGCAAGACAAUCCAAAGACUCCAGAGGUCACUUUGCAGUUUAUUACGAUAAAUCUCCAUUUUUUUUAUUUUUUUUUUACAUCCAUACAGAAUUUGCAACAUAAUUUUGGCUUAUGUAAACAAUUCAGAAGUGAAGCGUCAGCCGAAAGAAAAGAAGGCCAAACAUUAUUCAUAUAAGCUACGCUAUGAAUAAAUGACAAGGUGCAGCAUUGUUUUCCCCCCCCAAACAUCCAAACAUGGUCCUUGUCCUGUGGUCUUGUUGGCAGGGUGACACUGGACUGGACCACAGGGACUCUGCAUGGAGCCUUCACCAUCCUGGCUGGACUUAAGUCUGCUGUCUGGUCAUUGAACGCAACAUGAACGCACAGCAGGCGGGCCAUGCAGAGUUUGCCACUGCAACGUUCCAAAGAACAACAAAGAAGGCUGUUGGAAGCAUUGAAAUCAGGAAAAGGAUAAAAGUCUCUUCAGAGUUCCUGGAGAGGUAACCAAGAAGGGCAAAAGAUGUCAAGAUGGUACAAAAGCCCAGGAGGAAAAUGGCACACAGUCCAGUCCAAGAAGCAGAGCUUCCAGUGACCACUUUGUUGAAGAGCCCAGCCCUCACCUCCAUCAGGUCAUCCAUGUGUUCCACACCACGCCGAUCAUUCUGCACGGCAUUGUAGGGAACGUAGACGCGAGGCUUCUUCAUGUGCUCCGGCUUCUCUGACGUGCCGUGCAGGAUCAGCUUCCAGUUCA